CAACGGUGGAGCCUGCGGUUUAAUUGGACUCAACGCCGGGCAGCUCACCGGAUAAGACAGCUGGAUGAUAGCCGGGCUGAAGACUCUGCUUGACUAGCUGAGAGGAGGUGCAUGGCCGUCGUCAGUUCGUACUGUGAAGCAUCCUGUUAAGUCAGGCAACGAGCGAGACCCACGCCAACAGUUGCCAGCAUGUCCUCCGGGAUGAUGGGGACACUGUUGGGACCGCCUCUGCUAAAGAGGAGGAAGGAAUGGGGCAACGGUAGGUCAGCAUGCCCCGAAUUAUCCGGGCUACACGCGGGCUACAAUGGUCAGGACAAUGGGUAUCGACACCGAGAGGUGGAGGCAAUCUCCUAAACCUGUCCUUAGUUCGGAUUGUGGGCUGCAACUCGCCCACAUGAAGCUGGAAUCUGUAGUAAUCGUGUCUCAAAAUGGCACGGUGAAUAUGUCCCUGCUCCUU
rnacentral:rRNA from 1 species